UGACUUUGAGGUUUUGUUAAUGCUUUUUUCUUUUGGUUUAUUACCUUUUGCAUCAUGAUUUACUGAAGGUUGUUAAUUAUUUAGCUUCCCGAAAGAUGGUGAUUUAGCAUUGAUUUGUUUAGUACUAAAUAAGAAUUAUGCGGGUAGCAUUUUUUAAAAUUGAUGCUGGGCGUGAUAAAUAAUACGUACUAUCUUAUAUCUGGUUUCUGAAGAUUUUUAUCAUAAUAACUUUGCUGCUAAGAUGUGGUAGAGUUUUUAAGAGAUUUUAUUUUUUUAUUAUACUGUUGGGUUAAAAGUCCCCUAAAAUAAUGUUUGUGUUACAACAUUUUUUUUAUUUAAAUUUUUCUUUAUUUUAAUUUUCAGAAUAAUAACUUUUUGUGUUAGUAUUGUAUAAUUAGUAGUUUAAGUAUCCUAUAUUUUUCUCGUAGCUCGCCGGACUGUUUAUUAAAAACAUUUUUAUUAUUUAACUUUUAAUAAUCUAGCCUGCCCUAUGUAUAUUUAUAAAUGGCCGCAGUAUAUUGACUGUGCUAAGGUAGCAUAAUUAAUUGCCUUAUAAUUGAAGGAUUGUUUGAAUGGUAUUACCAGGUGAGUUUUAAGAUGUAGGUUAUAUUAAGAAAUUGGUUUAUCGGUGCAGAACCCGAUAAAAUUUAAUAAGACGGAAAGACCCCAAGAGCUUUAUGAUAUUUUAUUUACUUGGGGCAAGGGCAUAUUCUUUAUAUGUUUUUUGAUCCUUUAGGAUUAUAGGAAUAAGUUACCUUGGGGAUAACUAGGUAAGAGAUGAAGAGAGUUCAUAUCGAUUCAUCUAUUUGCCAUCUCGAUGUUGACUUAGGGUUAAUAUAAUGGCGCAGAAGUUUUUAUAUUUGGUCUGUUCGACCUUAAAUCCUUUCAUGAGUUGAGUUAAGACCGGCGUGAGCCAGGUCGGUUCUUAUCUAUUGGUUUCUUGGCUUAGUACGAAAGGAUUGGCUGGG
rnacentral:rRNA from 1 species